AGCACCAUUGUUCAAAUCUGGAAGGAGGCGCUGGAAAUCCGGCAAUUUUUAGAAUUGAAGUGGGCCUUAUCAUCUAAUGUGCAGUUGGUUCCUAAAGAACUGUAAGCAGUACAAAAAGAUAUCCUGUUGUUUGGAAAUUGAUACUUCAAGUUUUAUCAAUAUGAUAAAAAGUUGGUUUCUAAAGUAUAGCGAAAAGGGAUUAAUUUGUGUUUUGUAAUGAACAGAUCAAGAAGAAAGUAUCCACUGAGAAACAUAUAACUUUUAUAUAAAACAGUCUAGUGCACUCUUAUUAACUACUGACUGGCAAAAUUGAGACUAUUGUUCUCUUAUGGAAUGGAAUGUAUACAAAUACAUAUGCAUGCACACAUGCAUAUACGUACGCUUUAUACAAGAGUAAGAAGUAGCUGUAUUUUUCCAUCCGUUAGUAUAUAUGUUAGUAUAUAUGAGUUAUUUUGCAUUUUUGAAAAAGCAACUUUAAAAACAAGUUAUAUUAAAUACUGUAAGUGACAUUUCUAACUUCAAUGGGGAUAUCCCAUAUGUGGAUUACUUCAAUUUUCAGCUACAUGUAUUUGUAAGCAUGUAUGCAAUACCUUGAAUAGAAAUAAUAAGCCUUCUCCAAGUAAUCAGCGGGCAUCCAACCUACCAACAUUUUAUAUCUGAAACACAAUUGAAAUGACAUAAUAAGGUUGUAAUAGCUGUAUUAAAUAACAGUUCAGAAGAAA